AUUGAACGCUGGCGGCAUGCUUUACGCAUGCAAGUCGAACGGUAACAGGCCGCAAGGUGCUGACGAGUGGCGGACGGGUGAGUAAUGCAUCGGAACGUGCCCCGUCCUUGGGGAUAACUACUCGAAAGAGUAGCUAAUACCGCAUACGAUCUAUGGUUUUGAGCCGUGUACCGUAAUGCCUCGCGCGAUUGGUGCGGCCGAUGUUAGAUUAGGUAGUUGGUGGGGUAAAGGCUCACCAAGCCAACGAUCUGUAGCUGGUCUGAGAGGACGACCAGCCACACUGGAACUGAGACACGGCCCAGACUCCUACGGGAGGCAGCAGUGGGGAAUUUUAGACAAUGGGCGCAAGCCUGAUCCAGCAAUGCCGCGUGCAGGAAGAAGGCCUUCGGGUUGUAAAAUGCUUUUGUACGGAACGAAACGGCUCUGGUUAAUACCCGGGGCUAAUGACGGUACCGUAAGAAUAAGCACCGGCUAACUACGUG
rnacentral:rRNA from 1 species